rnacentral:rRNA from 1 species
UGCUUAACACAUGCAAGUCGAAGGGUGAAGCCCUUCGGGGUGGAUCAGUGGCGAACGGGUGAGUAACACGUGGGCAAUCUGCCCUGCACUCUGGGACAAGCCCUGGAAACGGGGUCUAAUACCGGAUACGACCUGCUAUCGCAUGUUCUCGGGUGGAAAGCUCCGGCGGUGCAGGAUGAGCCCGCGGCCUAUCAGCUUGUUGGUGGGGUGAUGGCCUACCAAGGCGACGACGGGUAGCCGGCCUGAGAGGGCGACCGGCCACACUGGGACUGAGACACGGCCCAGACUCCUACGGGAGGCAGCAGUGGGGAAUAUUGCACAAUGGGCGAAAGCCUGAUGCAGCGACGCCGCGUGAGGGAUGACGGCCUUCGGGUUGUAAACCUCUUUCAGCAGGGAAGAAGCGUGAGUGACGGUACCUGCAGAAGAAGCACCGGCUAACUACGUGCCAGCAGCCGCGGUAAUACGUAGGGUGCGAGCGUUGUCCGGAAUUAUUGGGCGUAAAGAGCUCGUAGGCGGCUUGUCGCGUCGGAUGUGAAAGCCCGGGGCUUAACUCCGGGUCUGCAUUCGAUACGGGCAGGCUAGAGUUCGGUAGGGGAGAUCGGAAUUCCUGGUGUAGCGGUGAAAUGCGCAGAUAUCAGGAGGAACACCGGUGGCGAAGGCGGAUCUCUGGGCCGAUACUGACGCUGAGGAGCGAAAGCGUGGGGAGCGAACAGGAUUAGAUACCCUGGUAGUCCACGCCGUANACGUUGGGAACUAGGUGUGGGCGACAUUCCACGUUGUCCGUGCCGCAGCUAACGCAUUAAGUUCCCCGCCUGGGGAGUACGGCCGCAAGGCUAAAACUCANAG